rnacentral:rRNA from 1 species
GAUAAACGCUAGCGGCAGGCUUAACACAUGCAAGUCGAGGGGCAGCAUAGAUUGUAGCAAUACAAUUGGUGGCGACCGGCGCACGGGUGCGUAACGCGUAUGCAACCUACCCGUCACAGGGGGAUAAUCCGGAGAAAUCUGGUCUAAUACCCCAUAACAUAUGGAUCGGCAACGGGUCAUGUUGAAAUUUUCGGAGGUGACGGAUGGGCAUGCGUAGCAUUAGCUUGUUGGUGAGGUAACAGCUCACCAAGGCGACGAUGCUUAGGGGGACUGAGAGGUUUACCCCCCACACUGGGACUGAGACACGGACCAGACUCCUACGGGAGGCAGCAGUGAGGAAUAUUGGUCAAGGGGCGCAAGCCUGAACCAGCCAUGCCGCGUGCAGGAUGACGGCUCUAUGAAUUGUAAACUGCUUUUGUACGAGGGUAAAGUGGGUUACGUGUAACCUUUUGAAAGUAUCGUUCGAAUAAGGAUCGGCUAACUCCGUGCCAGCCGCCGCGGUAA